UGGGGAAUUUUGGACAAUGGGCGAAAGCCUGAUCCAGCAAUGCCGCGUGUGUGAAGAAGGCCUUCGGGUUGUAAAGCACUUUUGUCCGGAAAGAAAUCCUUGGCUCUAAUACAGUCGGGGGAUGACGGUACCGGAAGAAUAAGCACCGGCUAACUACGUGCCAGCAGCCGCGGUAAUACGUAGGGUGCAAGCGUUAAUCGGAAUUACUGGGCGUAAAGCGUGCGCAGGCGGUUUGCUAAGACCGAUGUGAAAUCCCCGGCUCACCUGGACUGCAUGUGACUGGCAGGCUAGAGUAUGGCAGAGGGGGUGAGAAUUCCACGUGUAGCAGUGAAAUGCGUAGAGAUGUGGAGGAAUACCGAUGGCGAAGGCAGCCCC
rnacentral:rRNA from 1 species